rnacentral:rRNA from 1 species
UACGGAGGGUGCAAGCGUUGCUCGGAAUUAUUGGGCGUAAAGGGUAGGUAGGUGGUCUCAUUUGUCUGGGGUGAAAGCCUUGAGCUUAACUCGAGAAGUGCCCCAGAAACGGUGAGACUAGAGUCCUGGAGAGGGUCGUGGAAUUCCCGGUGUAGCGGUGAAAUGCGUAGAGAUCGGGAGGAACACCAGAGGCGAAGGCGGCGACCUGGACAGGCACUGACACUCAACUACGAAAGCGUGGGGAGCAAACAGG